rnacentral:sRNA from 1 species
GAAAAUGCGCGAAAAAAUUGCAAAUGUUAAACUUUAACCAAUUGGUGAAUAAAAUCUAGUGCAAACUGUAAACAAUACAUACGUUCGUCAUAAUUUAACUACUGCUGAAGGAUAUACGCACAUACAUGUAGUGAACGUUGCUGUGGGGUGCAUAAAUCUUAAAACUUAUUUGUGUGCGCGGGAAAAUGCGCGGGAAUUUACGCGGCAGGGCAGGAGGAAUGCAGCCAAAACCAUGAAGUGACAUGAAGCGAUGUGAAAAUGCAUUCCCAGCGAUGAUGUGAAGCCGGGGAAUCUGAAUCUGAGCCUGAUGUCGCUGCCAGGCAACCGCCAAGAUGAUGUUGAUGGGGCGUGAUUAUGCGACAGGAGCCCCAUGGCACAUGGCGUCGCGGAGGAGGCUGAAACUGAUGAGGUUAGAGCUACGAACAACGCUGGCAGAUGAUGAGCCGUAUUAUGUUACGUUCCUUGUGUGGAGUGGAGCAGUCUCCGUCUCCGUCUCCGUGCAGUCUGCAGACUGUAGUCCUGGAUCUGAGCGUGUCAUAAAUGUCGCACGCCACGUUACUGAUAGUUCUGAUUAUACCACACAUACACACACACACACACACACCCCCUGCCCCGUACCGUAGCAUUAUCCCAUGUUUGUAUAAUACGUUCCGCUUGACGGCGGCAGUGGCACAAAUUUGCAUGCGCACGAAAAGCAUCAUCGAAAAUGCAUCAUUAGCGUCGGGGAAUUGGCCAAACAAGUCUAUUUGUCGCCUCCCUGAAGCCGGGCAGAGAAGAGACACGAAUCACGUUGCACGCUGCACGCUGCAAGUUGCCAGCUGCCAGCUGCGAUAUGCAAAAGAGUUGUGUGUGGUGUGGUGUGGUGUGGUGGCACCCACGACGACUCCUCCAGAGGUGCCGCACAGGGAUAAAAACACUUGUUGCCAGCGUGUGGCUUUGAUCAGAGAACAGGCCCUGCCAGAAAACAUUUUGUAAGCUAUUCAAAUGCAAAUUCCACUGCCAUGAACCAUUGUUAAAAGGCGUCAUGUGGUCUGGCCUCAGGAAACGUAAGGAAUGGCCUCUUCAUUAGGUGCAAAGGAAAAGAAAGUCUUCAAGUGUGCCCCACAGAAUCUUUUGUAGCUGGCCAAUUUGUCAGGCAGUUGACAAAAGACGCUUUGUUGCUGCCUGCUGCUGCGGACUCUCGUCUGUGGAAAAACAUUUCCGGAUGAGUAACUCAUCAGUCAGCGGCAAGGGCAGGCCACGAGAGAUGAAUGGAGAGAGCUGUUGACACCACUUUGGGGGCCAAGGCGUUCGGGCUCAUCAUGGGAGAGAAGAUGCAGCAAAAGUUGCAAAGUGAUUUAGCUGCUGCAACAAGUGCGCCGUAAAUUUCAUCAAAAAACAAAAAAAAAAAACAGAAACAGAAACGGAGGAACUUUUGAAGGAGCCCUGCCACUGAAGAGGCGUGACAGGAGGGCGCGUGAUUGAAAACUGAUGGCGUUUGCCUGGCGUUUACAUUGGAAAUGCAUUGGCAUUAAAUAAACAGAAAUUGCGCAUUUCUCACGCCAAAAUGUACAUACAUAUCUCUGCAGACAGCCAAAGAUACACAGAGCUUCAGUGCCAGAUACAGAUGCAGAUGCAGAUACAUCGAGGCUGUGCUGUCGUCGGGCAUCUCUCCAUCUACCAUUUCGCGUCACCCACUUAAUUUGCCAGCAGCAUGGAGCAGCCGGAUGCGCAAAUGGCAAUGACAUUCAGAUGGAGAGACAGAUGCAGAUACGCCGCGAUGCGAUGCGAUGCGACGCCUUCUUCCUAGUCGCUGACAAAAUGUAUCUGUUUGCAAUUAAAUGUCAACGACUGGAGCCCAGAAAACGUUGACAAUCUGCCAAAUUCCACACCAUAUAGCCAUGGGCUCUACCACUUAAUUCUGACUAAGAACUACCUGAAUUUGUAGCAGCAUUGAUCAGGCAACAAUUACCAUAAAUGACGAUAAAUGGCUGGAGUUUAAUCAGAGUGGAAGGCAGGCCACAAAAAGCAGACUGGGACGCAGGCGCAAUCCCCGUGCGGUGGCGGCCACGGCGACGGCGGCGGCGUGUCAAACGUCAAGACUUGAGUGGAACAUGCGCUUGUGCGACUGCAACUGCGACUGCGACUUUCCCGCCAGCCAGCAAGCAACGGGCCACCAUUUGCCAUGAAAUAUAACCUCAAUCAACAUUCGCUCAUUACCCAAACGGCGAAGACUCUGGCUAAGGCUGGCUCUCCCCUGUAGCUCCGGUGUACUACCAGGAUGACAUUUUAUUUAUGAAUACCAAAUUGUAAAUUAUUAACAUGUUUCACGCAAGUUAUGGCCUGAGCCAUGAGUGUCCCGUACCCUGUAAGCCACACGAUGGAUCGUUGACUAGUCUGCCUGCUCGGACAUGGCCAAAAGGAAAGGCAAAAGAGGAAACUUUAACGCUUUUGCUAAAUGAAAAGUUAAUGGCGCGCCUGAACAUACAAAUGAGGUUAUUAGCGCUUGAUUAUGGUCUUCAUUUGGAAAUGUCUGUUGCGGCGCACGAAGACUUUUCGCUGGAAAAGGAAAUUGUGUAAGGAAAUGAGGAAAUAUUAACAAGAUAUUUCAGAUUUUUAUUGAUUUUACCCAAAAGCCAGAAGAAAGUUGUAACGAAAUUUUAAGACUGAGAUUUCUGCCUUUCCAUUAAGAGAUUCUUAUAAAGAUCUUUCCAUAAGCCAAAGAUAACUUCAAGAGCAACCCAUUAAAUGAUUAAUUUAUAUGGUUUUUCGCACAGAAAGAUCUCUCGAGAGAGAAAUUCAUACGGCCGAGGUGACGAAUGAAAGCCAGCGAUCCCAUGGACAGGAGUAAAAGUUUCGCAAGUGAAAAUUGGCCAAAAAAAUACUGAUUGCCAUCCUCUCGACUGUCCGACUGUCCGACUGUGUCGCCGUCAAUUUAUCUUUCUCAUAUUUUUGUGCUGCAGAUAAACACGAAAAGUAGACGGACUGCAAACAAAUCAUGCGACUGACUGCAUAAAUCACACAACACAUUUGACACUUUUGGGAUGCCAUAGGAUGCCUCUCUCUCUCUCUCUCUGCCCUCUCUCCACCUUCCACACAACUGGCUCUCAUCUCCAUUGCUCCAUUGCUCCAUCGCUCCUCCUGCUGCUGCUGCUGCUGCAUUACCAUGUCGGAGGAUACCCAGACGAAUGCUGGACAAACUUUUUGCCAGCAGUUAAACAAACGCAACCCAAUGCCAUUGAUGAGUAUUGAAUUGGACGAAAACGGGGGUGAGGACAGAGACUUUCUGUUGACCAGGGUCAACGCUGAUUGUGAGUGAAAAUUGUCGGAUGUCUUUAUGCUCUACGGCGGAAAGAGUCAUUUGAGUACGUC